rnacentral:rRNA from 1 species
UCCCUAUGGGGUGCAGCAGUCGCGAAAAUUUUGCAAUACACGAAAGUGUGACAGAGCUAUCCCGAGUGCCAUCCGCUGAGGAAGGCUUUUACCCAGUAUAAAUAGCUGGGAGAAUAAGGAGAGGGCAAGUCUGGUGUCAGCCGCCGCGGUAAUACCAGCUCUCCGAGUAGUGUGGACGUUUAUUGGGCCUAAAGCAUCCGUAGCUUGCUAGAUAAGUCCCCUGUUAAAUCCACCGAUUCAAUCGUUGGAUUGCGGGGGAUACUGUUUGGCUAGGGGACGGGAGAGGUCGACGGUAUUUCCGGGGUAGGGGUGAAAUCCUAUAAUCCCGGGAAGACCACCAGUGGCGAAGGCUGUCGACUAGAACGCGCCCGACGGUGAGGGAUGAAAGCUGGGGGAGCGAACCGGAUUAGAUACCCGGGUAGUCCCAGCUGUAAACGAUGCAGGCUAGGUGUUUGGGCGGCCACGAGCCGCCCUAGUGCCGCAGGGAAGCUGUUAAGCCUGCCGCCUGGGGAGUACGGCCGCAAGGCUGAAACUUAAAGGAAUUGGCGGGGGAGCACCACAAGGGGUGAAGCUUGCGGUUUAAUUGGAUUCAACGCCGGAA